AUACGAGUUAAAACUUAMAAUUUAAAAGAYUUGACGGUAYUUCACAACAACYUAGAGGAGCCUGUCUAAUAACCGAUACUCCACGAUUAACCCAACCCCCCCUAGCCUAACAGUCUAUAUACCGCCGUCGCCAGCUUACCUUGUGAAAGAAACAAAGUGAGCUCAAUAGACACCCCAAACACGACAGGUCGAGGUGUAACUAAUGGGGGGGAUAGGAUGGGCUACAUUUUCUAAUAUAGAAAAUACGAAUAGACUAUGAAACUAGAAACUGAAGGCGGAUUUAGCAGUAUGAUAAGGACAAAAUACUUAACCGAAACCAACGCAAUGAAGUGCGUACACACCGCCCGUCAUCCCUGAAAAAUAAACCACAAGAAUACAUAAAACACCACCACCUUUAAAACAGGGCAAGUCGUAACAA
rnacentral:rRNA from 1 species